rnacentral:rRNA from 1 species
GUGAACGCUGGCGGUAGGCCUAACACCUGCAAGUCGAACGGCAGCACAGUAAGAGCUUGCUCUUACGGGUGGCGAGUGGCGGACGGGUGAGGAAUACAUCGGAAUCUACUUUUUCGUGGGGGAUAACGUAGGGAAACUUACGCUAAUACCGCAUACGACCUACGGGUGAAAGCAGGGGAUCUUCGGACCUUGCGCGAUUGAAUGAGCCGAUGUCGGAUUAGCUAGUUGGCGGGGUAAAGGCCCACCAAGGCGACGAUCCGUAGCUGGUCUGAGAGGAUGAUCAGCCACACUGGAACUGAGACACGGUCCAGACUCCUACGGGAGGCAGCAGUGGGGAAUAUUGGACAAUGGGCGCAAGCCUGAUCCAGCCACACCGCGUGGGUGAAGAAGGCCUUCGGGUUGUAAAGCCCUUUUGUUGGGAAAGAAAAGCAGCAGGUUAAUACCCCGCUGUUCUGACGGUACCCAAAGAAUAAGCACCGGCUAACUUCGUG